rnacentral:rRNA from 1 species
UACGUAGGCAGCAAGCGUUGUUCGGAGUUACUGGGCGUAAAGAGUAUGUAGGCGGUGUCCUAAGUUCGGUGUGAAAUCUCCCGGCUCAACUGGGAGGGUGCGCCGAAGACUGGGAUGUUGGAGUCUCGGAGAGGAACGCGGAAUUCCUGGUGUAGCGGUGAAAUGCGUAGAUAUCAGGAGGAACACCAGUGGUGUAGACGGCGUUCUGGACGAGUACUGACGCUGAGAUACGAAAGCGUGGGGAGCAAACAGG